AUUAUAUUUCAGUUUACAAAUAUUUUCGUAAAACGUCACAGAGUAUUGUAAUCACUGUAGUAUAUUUUAUUUUAUAGCAAAUUGCUCCAAAAUUUAAAGUUAUCUCUUGUAACCUCCAAUGUCGUUCUCCGCGAAAACGGUGCUCAAGGAGGGCUCCACGGAGCUGGAGCACAUCUGUGAGCUGGACAUCUCGCAGCAGGCCACCCACCAACGCCUGGUGUCCUUGAUCGCCACCAUAUCCCUUGGUUCCCGCAACGCGGACAUCAUAUACAGCAUGAUCAUGAAGGGAGUGAACAUUUUCCGGCUGAACUUCUCCCACGAAUCGCACGAGAUGCACUCGAAGACGAUCGAGCUGAUUAAUGAGGCGCUGGACCGGAUUCACAAGGAGACGGGUCAAAUACGUACGGUGGCCAUUGCGGCGGACACGCGAGGACCUCAGAUCCGAACUGGCCUUCUGGAUGGUGAUGUGUUCCUGCGCGCCGGCGAUAAUCUAAGGCUCUCCAUCAAUCGGGAUUUGUACGACAAGGGCAACAAGGAGGCGGUCUAUGUUGACUAUCCCAAUAUAAUCAAUCUAACCAAGACGGGGGAUCGUCUGUUCAUCGACGAUGGCAAGCUGCUGCUCCACAUUAUGGAGGUGGGCGUGGAUGGGCUGCUGUGCGAGGUCAUCCAAGGUGGCCAGCUGAACAACAACUGCAAUGUGAUCCUGCCCGAGAUCGAAAUCGAUUUGCCUGCCGUCUCCGAGAAGGACAUGUUCGACCUGCAGUUCAGCAUGAAGGCCAAUGUGGACUUCCUCUUUGCCUCGGCGGUGCGAAGUGCCAAAAAUGUGAAGGAACUGCGAACGGUGCUCGGCGAGAAGGGCAAGCACAUCAAGAUCAUCGCCAAGAUGGACAGUAAGAUAGCACUGAGCCGCUUCUCGGAGAUCAUGAAGGCGGCCGAUGGACUUUUGCUAUCCCGAGCGGACCUGGGCACUCAGAUACCCAUCGAGAAGCUGUUCAUCACGCAGAAGAGCAUCCUGGGGCAGUGCAAUAAGGCCGGCAAGCCGGUAAUAGUGGCCUCGCACAUCCUGGAGUCCAUGCGCUCAGUGCAACAUCCCACGCGAGCCGAGUGCUUCGAUCUGGCCAAUGCCAUUAUAGAUGGAGCGGAUUGCAUAAUGCUGUCCUCGGAGGUGGCCAUUGGUGCCUAUCCCAAGGAGACGGUGGCCACCUGCGACACACUGUGCCGCGAGGCUGAGAAAGUCCUGUGGUUCCGGGAUCUUUUCUCCGACCUGGUCAGCGAAGUUCGUGGCGAGUUGGAUGCGGCCCACUCGCUGGCCAUUGCCUCUGUGGAGACGGCCAAGAGGACCAAUGCCACGCUGAUUGUGGUCCUCACUACCUCGGGUCGUUCAGCCACCUUGGUUAGCAAAUUCCGGCCACGAUGUCCCAUUUUGGCCGUAACCCGGUGCGAACGGGCCGCCCGUUGGGUCUACAUGCAUCGUGGCGUCCUUCCGGUUCUAUACACCUCGGAACCAAGCUCCGAUUACGCCACCGAUGUGGACGCCCGGGUGCAGUUCGCCCUGACCUCGGCCAAGAAGUGGAACAUCAUCGACGACGGCGAUCCCAUUGUAAUCGUGAGUGCCUGGAAGGACGGUGGCGGGUUCACCAACAAUGUGCGCGUGGUCUACGCCUUUUUCGAGGCGGAUCGUGUGGACUGCCUCUUCCGGUCGGACAGGCGAAGAUCACUCAAGAACACCAACCUUCAGAUGGCCAACCGUGAGCCGGAAACUUGAACAGGGGCGAGGCAAGCGCCAAUCCCAUAAGAUUUCCCAGAUCUCGGACAAUUUGAAAAAUCGGGCUCGCCUCGUGACGCAUACCAAUGGGGAUCCAUCUCGAGACGCAUUUUGAUAAGGAACACCGCAAUUGCCAAUCCUCCCAAAAAGCAAACAAUCGAAAUCCCAUAUAUACGUGAUCGGGAGAACAAAUACUUGUUGUUGC